rfam:Nippostrongylus brasiliensis genome assembly, scaffold: NBR_contig0000569
GUCUCAGUAGCACAGUGGUUAGUGCACAGCCCCGGAAAGGUUGAGACGCGGGUUCGAUUCCCGCCUGGGGUG